GUGAAUCAUCGAAUCUUUGAACGCACAUUGCGCCACGUGGUAUUCCACGGGGCACGCCUGUUUGAGUGUCACGUAAACCCAUCGCGUCGUGGACUGUCAUGGUCUGCGGGGCGGAUUUGGACGUUGCCGGAGCUCACGCUUCGGCUCGUCUCGAAAUGCAUUAGCUGUCUGACGACGCGCGCCGCUGGUGUGAUAAUUUCUUUGCGCCUUGGCAAGCAUCCGAAGUAAGCUCAUAAUCGUCCGCAAGGACAAUUUAUUAAAGCUCUGGCCUCAAAUCAGGUGGGACUACCCGCUGAACUU
rnacentral:misc_RNA from 1 species